ensembl:snoRNA SNORA70 Small nucleolar RNA SNORA70
CUGCAACUGAUUAAGCCAACCAUCUCACUUAUUUCAUUGGCACCUGGUGUACAAUGGCUGCAAAGAGCAACUUCCAUGGUAGUAUAUGCAACCUGUUGCUUGUAUGGGUUGCCCUGAGGGACCUUGGAGACAGCC